rnacentral:rRNA from 1 species
CAGCCGCCGCGGUAAUACGUAGGUGGCAAGCGUUGUCCGGAAUUAUUGGGCGUAAAGCGCGCGCAGGCGGUUCCUUAAGUCUGAUGUGAAAGCCCACGGCUCAACCGUGGAGGGUCAUUGGAAACUGGGGGACUUGAGUGCAGAAGAGGAGAGCGGAAUUCCACGUGUAGCGGUGAAAUGCGUAGAGAUGGGGAGGAACACCAGUGGCGAAGGCGGCUCUCUGGUCUGUAACUGACGCUGAGGCGCGAAAGCGUGGGGAGCAAACAGGAUUAGAUACCCUGGUAGUCCACGCCGUAAACGAUGAGUGCUAAGUGUUAGAGGGUAUCCACCCUUUAGUGCUGUAGCUAACGCAUUAAGCACUCCGCCUGGGGAGUACGCUCGCAAGAGUGAAACUUAAAGGAAUUGGCGGG